rnacentral:rRNA from 1 species
UACGUAGGGCGCAAGCGUUGGCCGGAAUUAUUGGGCGUAAAGAGCUCGUAGGCGGUUUGUCGCGUCUGCUGUGAAAUCCCGAGGCUCAACCUCGGGCUUGCAGUGGGUACGGGCAGACUAGAGUGCGGUAGGGGAGACUGGAAUUCCUGGUGUAGCGGUGGAAUGCGCAGAUAUCAGGAGGAACACCGAUGGCGAAGGCAGGUCUCUGGGCCGCAACUGACGCUGAGGAGCGAAAGCAUGGGGAGCGAACAGG